GGAGACGAACGGCUGGAAUCAAUCAGCGCUUGCGCGCGCCUUCUCUCUACUUCAAAACAUGCAAUUUCUCUGGUUAAUUCUAAUAACGAAUGAGACUCUAGCCUAUUAAAUAGGUGCGUGGUUCUCUGCACCAUGCAUGCACCCUUCUUAGAGGUACAAGCGGCUCCUAGCCGCACGAAACAGAGCAAUAACAGGUCUGUGAUGCCCU
rnacentral:rRNA from 1 species